rnacentral:rRNA from 1 species
UGGGAUAUUGGACAAUGGACAAGAGUCUGAUCCAGCAAUUCUGUGUGCACGAUGAAGUUUUUCGGAAUGUAAAGUGCUUUCAGUUGGGAAGAAGAAAGUGACGGUACCAACAGAAGAAGCGACGGCUAAAUACGUGCCAGCAGCCGCGGUAAUACGUAUGUCGCAAGCGUUAUCCGGAUUUAUUGGGCGUAAAGCGCGUCUAGGUGGUUUGGUAAGUCUGAUGUGAAAAUGCGGGGCUCAACUCCGUAUUGCGUUGGAAACUGCCUAACUAGAGUAUCGGAGAGGUGGGCGGAACUACAAGUGUAGAGGUGAAAUUCGUAGAUAUUUGUAGGAAUGCCGAUAGAGAAGUCAGCUCACUGGACGAAUACUGACACUGAAGCGCGAAAGCAUGGGGAGCAAACAGGAUUAGAUACCCUGGUAGU